GAUGAACGCUGGCGGCGUGCCUAAUACAUGCAAGUCGAGCGAAUGGAUUAAGAGCUUGCUCUUAUGAAGUUAGCGGCGGACGGGUGAGUAACACGUGGGUAACCUGCCCAUAAGACUGGGAUAACUCCGGGAAACCGGGGCUAAUACCGGAUAACAUUUUGAACCGCAUGGUUCGAAAUUGAAAGGCGGCUUCGGCUGUCACUUAUGGAGGGACCCGCGUCGCAUUAGCUAGUUGGUGAGGUAACGGCUCACCAAGGCAACGAUGCAUAGCCGACCUGAGAGGGUGAUCGGCCACACUGGGACUGAGACACGGCCCAGACUCCUACGGGAGGCAGCAGUAGGGAAUCUUCCGCAAUGGACGAAAGUCUGACGGAGCAACGCCGCGUGAGUGAUGAAGGCUUUCGGGUCGUAAAACUCUGUUGUUAGGGAAGAACAAGUGCUAGUUGAAUAAGCUGGCACCUUGACGGUACCUAACCAGAAAGCCACGGCUAACUACGUGCCAGCAGCCGCCGUAA
rnacentral:rRNA from 1 species